UAUGCUUAGCCCUAAACUUAGAUAAUUAUACUACACACAUUAUCCGCCCGGGUACUACGAGCACUAGCUUAAAACCCAAAGGACUUGGCGGUGCUUAAUAACCCCCUAGAGGAGCCUGUUCUAGAACCGAUAACCCUCGUUAAACCUCACCCCUUCUUGCCUAUUACCGCCUAUAUACCGCCGUCGUCAGCUCACCCUGUGAAGGAGCCAUAGUAAGCGUAAUUAGACUUACCCCAAAACGUCAGGUCGAGGUGUAGUGAAUGAAGGGGGAAGAAAUGGGCUACAUUUCCUGCUAUCAGGAUACACGGAAAGUGCUCUGAAAAAGGCACUAGAAGGUGGAUUUAGUAGUAAGUGGAGAUCAGAGUGCCCCACUGAAACCGGCCCUUAAGCGCGCA
rnacentral:rRNA from 1 species